CCUACGGGUGGCAGCAGUGAGGAAUAUUGGUCAAUGGACGAGAGUCUGAACCAGCCAAGUAGCGUGAAGGAUGACUGCCCUAUGGGUUGUAAACUUCUUUUAUAUGGGAAUAAAAUGUUCCACGUGUGGGAUUUUGUAUGUACCAUAUGAAUAAGGAUCGGCUAACUCCGUGCCAGCAGCCGCGGUAAUACGGAGGAUACGAGCGUUAUCCGGAUUUAUUGGGUUUAAAGGGAUCGUAGGUGGAUUGUUAAGUCCGUUGGGAAAGUGUGCGGCCCAACCGUAAAAUUGCAGUUGAAACUGGCAGUCUUGAGUACAGUAGAGGUGUGCGGAAUGCGUGGUGUAGCGGUGAAAUGCUUAGAUAUCACGAAGAACUCCGAUUGCGAAGGCAGUUCACUGGACUGCAACUGACACUGAGGCUCGAAAGUGUGGGUAUCAAACAGGAUUAGAUACCCGGGUAGUC
rnacentral:rRNA from 1 species